AGGGAACGUAGGGCAGAAUUUACGUAUAAAUAAAUGGACAAUUUUUAUGAUGUAGGCCGAAAAUGAGCUUCCCCUCUUUGAAAGUCCAGCAGCCGCCACUGACCCAGCAGUAGUGUGGACGCGAGGCGUUAACGUAACAAAAGGUAUUCGUUUUGAAACCAGAUUGUAGCAGUGUAGAUGUAGCCUAAAAGACU